rnacentral:rRNA from 1 species
AACGAACGCUGGCGGCAUGCCUAACACAUGCAAGUCGAACGAGACCUUCGGGUCUAGUGGCGCACGGGUGCGUAACGCGUGGGAACCUGCCUUUAGGUUCGGGAUAACUCAGAGAAAUUUGAGCUAAUACCGGAUGAUGUCUUCGGACCAAAGAUUUAUCGCCUUUAGAUGGGCCCGCGUUGGAUUAGCUAGUUGGUGGGGUAAAGGCCUACCAAGGCGACGAUCCAUAGCUGGUCUGAGAGGAUGAUCAGCCACACUGGGACUGAGACACGGCCCAGACUCCUACGGGAGGCAGCAGUGGGGAAUAUUGGACAAUGGGCGAAAGCCUGAUCCAGCAAUGCCGCGUGAGUGAUGAAGGCCUUAGGGUUGUAAAGCUCUUUUACCCGAGAUGAUAAUGACAGUAGCGGGAGAAUAAGCUCCGGCUAACUCCGUG